AUUGAACGCUGGCGGCAGGCCUAACACAUGCAAGUCGAAUGGUAACAGGAAACAGCUUGCUGUUUCGCUGACGAGUGGCGGACGGGUGAGUAAUGUCUGGGAAACUGCCUGAUGGGAGGGGGAUAACUACUGGAAACGGUAGCUAAUACCGCAUAACGUCGCAAAGACCAAAGAGGGGGACCUUCGGGCCUCUUGCCAUCAGAUGUGCCAGAUGGGAUUAGCUAGUAGGUGGGUAACGGCUCACCUAGGCGACGAUCCCUAGCUGGUCUGAGAGGAUGACCAGCCACACUGGAACUGAGACACGGU
rnacentral:rRNA from 1 species